UACGUAGGGGGCUAGCGUUGUCCGGAUUUAUUGGGCGUAAAGAGCGUGUAGGCGGCCAGAUAAGUCCGCUGUGAAAUCUCGAGGCUCAACUUCGAGCUGUCGGUGGAAACUGUCUGGCUAGAGUCCGGAAGAGGAGAAUGGAAUUCCUGGUGUAGCGGUGAAAUGCGCAGAUAUCAGGAGGAACACCUAUUGCGAAGGCAGCUCGCUGGGACGUUACUGACGCUGAGACGCGAAAGCGUGGGGAGCGAACAGG
rnacentral:rRNA from 1 species